GGGAUCGUGGUCUAGCUUGGCAUGAUUCGGGUUUUGGGUACCUGAGGUCGUCGGUUCAAAUCCGGCCGAUCCCA
rnacentral:tRNA from 3 species